GGAUGUGAGAGCAAUCUGGCUAAGACAUCUGUCACCCCAUUGAUCCCCAGGGUUGAUUCAUCUGAUCUGGCUGGCUAGGCAGGUUCCCCUUUCCUCACCACUUCAUGUGCAUCCCUCCUGAAGCUUCGUGCUCGGUUGAAGUAGACAACCUUCUCCUAUAGAGGAGGACUGUUAUUUGGUCAAGGGUAUACAAGUAGCUGCACUCCCUUGCUAGAACCUCCAAACAAGGUCUCAAGAAAUUGGGAUUCAAGAGUAAAGAAUCCAAAUUCAGUGUCGAAACCUAAGGUCUAGAUUCCCUGCCU
rnacentral:snRNA from 1 species